rnacentral:rRNA from 1 species
GACGAACGCUGGCGGCGUGCUUAACACAUGCACGUCGAACGAAGUGGCGAACGGGUGAGUAACGCGUAAUCAACCUGCCCUUCAGAGGGGGACAACAGUUGGAAACGACUGCUAAUACCGCAUACUGAAGGAGGGGAUUGCGCCGGAUUAGCUAGUUGGAGGGGUAACGGCCAACCAGGGCGAUGAUCAGUCACCGGUCUGAGAGGAUGAACGGCCAAAUUGGGACUGAGACACGGCCCAGACUCCUACGGGAGGCAGCAGUGGGGAAUCAUCCGAAAUGGACGAAAGUCUGACGGAGCAACGCCGCGUGAGUGAGGACGGCCUUCGGGUUGUAAAGCUCUGUUAAUCGGGACGCGAUACCGGAAUAGAAAGCCACGGCUAACUGCGUGCCAGCAGCCGCAGUAAUUC